AUUUUGUUUUCCGACCCAUAGUGGUUCGCCUUCCCCAUCGAUCCAAGACGGAGAUGAUCAAUACAUUGACCGCGGGGCCAGUUAGCAGGCGCACAUGGAGCGUGUGUUGAAUGGAACGUUCUCAUAAGAACUGGAUGUAGCAUCAUCCCAUCCCAUCGCAUCGCGAAUAAUUUUUGGGUAUGUGUGUUAAGGUUGUUUGUUAAGACGAAUCUACAGGUGUCGAAGAUGGGCAAAAAAAAGGUGGUAAACCUGUAGCAAUUUGUUGGAAGAUUUUUUUUGCUAUGUUCUUCUCGCUGGACAUUCAACGUUCCAACUCUUUUUGCUGUGCGUUGCUUAGCCAGUCGAAUUUGUGCUCGCUAACUGUACGCUUCGUUUUCUCGUGUUUCAGGCGGAGGUUCUAUUCGCGGAGUCUUGAAAUCGUCAAUCGGUCGCCGCCGCUGGCAAAGGUCAAAGGUUUUCAGUGAACUAAAUGCAUACAUACUGUUUGAACAACAAGCGGGAAGGCCACGUUUUGUGCGACGGAAGAUUAUAAUUAAGUGAAUUGCGUUGAACAAAAACUUUGUGUUCGAUUCCGACAAGAUGACGAACCCACGGAAG